UAGUGGCUGGGACAGGCCCCCAAGGCUGAUGACUCUGGAGGAAGCUGUAGGCCAGCUCCCCACCCUAGCUGUCUUCUGGACAGAACACUGAUGACAGCCGGAAGCCCAGGCCUCCCUUGGUGAACCAAUGGCUUUAUGGGACUUCACAGGAGUGCGCACGAGGAGUUACUUACAAAAGUGUGGGCGGUCCCCGAACAGCUGCAUCACGGAAAAGUCCCACCCAGCACGGACGCUGAUGCCAUGAAAACUGCAGGACCAGCCUCUCCUUCAGGAAGUCCACAGAUGAUUACCUACA